rnacentral:lncRNA from 1 species
AACAGAAACUGGAACUGGAACACUGUUCCUAUCCCAUUAUUACUAAGGUACUGUUCUACCCAGCAGCCCUGCAGAUUCUCCUCAUGCAACUUUGAGCCCUGCUCUGCACUCCCCACUGGAGCUAGGAAAAGGAAGCAGUCACAACAGACAGACACUCAGCCCUGAGCCCAGGCUGCAGUGGUUGAAGGGAUACACCCAGGCCUUCAUUCUUUCAUUUUUCAGACAGAAGAAUGCAAAGGAAGAAUGCAGGCACUUUUUCACUCUAAAAGUCUUUGCCAAACUCCUUCAUGCAGAUUCAUAUGGAAGAAUUUCCAUCAUGCAGUUCUUUAACUAUGUCAUGCGAAAAGGUGAUUCAGUUGCGUAUGUGUGUAUUUGAAUUUCUCUUGUCUGGGACUCAGGUUUUUGGUCUGUGCUUUUAUACUCUUUUUCUCAUGUGACACAACAUCCUUACUCUGCUACUAUGAUUUUCUUAUGUGCCUUAAUUGGGUCAUUAUUUUAAACAAGCAAAAGCCUCAUGUAUCAUAGAUAGUAGCAAAAUAGAAACAUCAAAAGCAGAACUACUUUUUUUUCUGCCAGACUGCUGCCCUCGUGGGUCACAUGCAUACACCCUUGAAGGGCCUGUCUCAGUCUGCUCUGUUCUGUAACUUGGCCAGAGUUGACAUCUGACAACAUGAAGAAGCAGAUUUACAAAGUGAACAAGAAAGGCCUGGCUCCCUUACAAAUAGGUGUGAUCCUGAGAGCCUCAAAUGGUUUUGCAUUGUGCAUUGUGUGACUGGCAAUACACUUUACAGAAUCCUUAAGUCCAGAGGACUUCUACCUAAUCUUCCUGAGGAUCUAUGGGUCAUCUACAGCCUCUGCCCUAG